ensembl:lncRNA
CCCAACUCCAAUUACACCAUCUCUCAACAUGCCACUACUUGUGUGCUAUUUAUCAUUCACAUUGUCACGGUCUCUCCCACCGGAUCCUAGCUGCCACUAGUUUUCUCUGUUAGUCUUGUCUGUCUCUGUCACAUUCUGUUUCAUGUACGGGGGCGUGGCCUGCUGAACUCCCCAACCCAGCCACGGUGAUCACCCGCACCUGACCGUCAUCACCAAUCCCGCCCACCUGUAUAUAUUCCCCAGUCAUUCAACCAUUCGUCGCCAGAUGGUCAGCUAAACUUACCUGGUUAAGUUAUCCUCCGACCUCUCUAGGACUUUCUAGUUAUUCUCGUUAUUCUCGUUCGAGUCGCCAUUUCUGAUCCUGUUGUUUCCCUCCUCGGUCAUCGUUGUCACGUCCACCACUCGACUCCCUUCUCCUGCCGGAAUACCAGUUCCUCCGAACCGUCGAGGGUGACUAUCUGUCCGGCAAUCUACCCGACCCACCAACUCCGGAUCGCCACGAACAUUCUCCUCUGCUCUGUGUAGCAAUAAACUGUUUAAUUGCUACCAACCUCGUCCUGUCGUAAUUUGUGCCGUGCGUUUGGGUUCACCCCGUCUUGAGCCGUAACAAACAUAGACCUAUUAAGAAAUAAUGAUACUAUUAAUCUGAAACGUAAAGCUAUUUUCUUACCAACGAUGUCCCUGCCUGACACAUAUCCCCGUCACGUAGGGACUAGACUAAUGACGUAGGCUAAUACAAAAAAUGUGACUGAAAAAGGGACUUCCCUUGUGUAAAUGCCAGGUUCUAUGAACAUCCUUUCUGUACCGACAGCGAUAUAUUGAUGCACUUCUUAUGACAAAUGUACUUAGCCUAUUGUAAGUCGCUUUGGAUAAAAGCGUCUGCUAAAUGCCCUAAAUGUAAAUGUAAAUUUGGAUGUCUGCGUCGGGGCCAGCAGACCGCUGCAGUCCAAACUCUCGCUGGAGACGUAACUCCUGUAGCUCCUUUCUCAGCUCCUGUAGGGGAGAGCCGGGUCGAUUGAAACACUUUUCAGUUAAACGUCUUUUUCAAAGAUGACGUUACGUAUACAAAUAAUUUUAACAUGUGAUCAACAACUCACAGUUGUGUUCUCUUAGUUACAAGUGAAAUUUAAUACAUAUGUUGGACGAUCGAGCUGCUUUUUAACUUUGAACGUAAGUUGACAUUUGUUUCAAACGCCCCGCCUAGUAGGGACGUUUGAAACACACAUGCGGGACGAUUGAAACAGCAUAUUUUAAAAAGAAUCUAUUGCCCUUACUCUUGUUUUUAUGCAACAUACUAGACAACAUACUAGUUUACUCGUCAUUGCUAAAAUCUCACAUAAUUCCGCAUCAUAUAAAUAGGUCAAAAUAUAUUUUUGGCCCGUGCGUAAUUAUCAAGAUGCACAUUUCGAUUAAAACUCACCUUUCUUCUUUUGGACGACUACAUUUGCAUUAAAUUUACUUAUUUCCCUGUCCUAAGUCAUGUUUAAGGAUACCCAGUUGAACAUCCUUUUAUUUAUUUUAAACAAAAACGACCAGGUCAACAGGAUAUCACGAGACCUGUUACAGCGGAUAUUUAUCCAAGCGCCGCACAGGGUUAAUUUCUUUUCGACACGCACAGCCUGGCGCACAGAAGCAUCCGGAGUCUCUGUGGACAGGUAGUGUGCACUCCCGUCGGUGCAAGCCUCAUGCGACCACUUAUAACAAAAGACACACUGGACCCACUCUUCCCCAGGCAUCGAGGCGCUGAAGAGCUCGGAGCACACGAGGCAGCUGACGUCCUCGCUGGAUAGGCCUAAAUAAAUUGGAGAAGUGGAGGCAGCAAUGGUGGUGAACUCUGCUGCCUCCGGAACAGGACAAACUAGGCCUAAGGUGGGGCUGACUCCAUCAGCGGGCCAGGUGAUGGUGGGAGGAGCAGCUGAGGUGGCAACUCCAGCAACUCCGGCAUCAGGAGCGGGCGAGAACAGCCUCUUCUUGGGAGCCCGAGAGGAGGGAGGCUGCUUGGCGGGACGACGCUGCUUCCCAGUUCCCUGCUUUUCCGCCUCUAAAGCAGCCCUCACCGGGGGUGUCCGUAAGUAUAGCAGUUGUCCUGAAAACGUUAAAUUGGACGUUUUGGACUUUUUAAAAAAAAAAAACUAAAAAAAUGGACUUUUUUUAUGAACUUGGACUUAUGGGACUAUUUACUUAUCUAUUAUGAACUCUGUUUAAUCCUCUGUUGCUUCUGAUGAAGUGUUCCUACCUGAAGUGGCACCUGGAGAAGCGCUGACCUCGUCACCCGAAGCCUGGGGAGGAGGACGGUCUGUGGAAUAGGCUCCGGCGAAGUCCUUUUCCUCAAACGCAGAGGGGUUAAAAGGCCAGAUCCCUGGACUUGAGAACCCGGAGGUGGGACGGGUGAUUGUCCAGCAGGAGGAGCAGCUUCGACUCCUUGGACACACGGGUGUGCCUGGUGAAGUGGGCCAGGUACAGGAGGAAGUCUGGCUCCUUCAUCCAGCCAGUUGGGUUGCCGCUGCCUGCACAGCCAACGGGUCCACCCCUCAGGAAGUGGUCUUUGAACCGCUUACGGGGGAAGAUGAAGAAUGGCGGAACAAGGUCGCCCUGCGCAUUGCCUGCCAAGGCAACUGUGACCAGGGUCCCCCUCUCCGCUGAGGUCACUGACCCGACCUGCUUCUGCCCCAUCUGGGCGACGACACGGUCUGGCACCUGGACAGUGGUGACCCCUGUAAAUAGUUGUCUGGACAAUCGCUGUUGGCUAGUGGCCUCUGGACGCCGAAGGGAGAGGCUGCCACUGCGCUCCAUGAAGGAGGUGAACCAGUCCUUCCCCGCCAUGCUCUUCCUCGACCAGGAUGCAGGGAAUGGGCAGCUGAAGUGGACUGCCAGCUCAAAGGCAAAUUUUCUGACCUGAAGGGGUCAUAAAAAGUUGAUGUUUAUGUUUAUGUUAUUU